rnacentral:rRNA from 1 species
GUGGGGAAUCUUGCGCAAUGGGCGAAAGCCUGACGCAGCGACGCCGCGUGAGUGAUGAAGGCCUUCGGGUUGUAAAGCUCUGUGGGGAGAGAAGAAUUAGUAGAGGCUAAUACCCUCUAUGAUGACGGUAUCUCCUUAGCAAGCACCGGCUAACUCUGUGCCAGCAGCCGCGGUAAGACAGAGGGUGCAAACGUUGUUCGGAAUUACUGGGCGUAAAGCGAGUGUAGGCGGUCUCAAAAGUCAGGUGUGAAAGCCCUGGGCUCAACCCAGGAAGUGCACUUGAAACUGCGAGGCUAGAGUACUGGAGAGGUUGGUGGAAUUCUCGGUGUAGAGGUGAAAUUCGUAGAUAUCGAGAGGAACACCGGUGGCGAAGGCGGCCAACUGGACAGAUACUGACGCUGAGACUCGAAAGCGUGGGGAGCAAACAGG